GUACAUUCCUAUAGCAUAGUGUUAAUGCAUUGAAUCCCUUUAGAACUCUGCAGCUAAGCAUGCUUGGAAUAGAGUAGUACUGGGAUGGGUGAUCGCCUAGGAAGUCAUAGUGUUUUACA
rnacentral:rRNA from 1 species